rnacentral:misc_RNA from 1 species
CCGAGUUAUACAACUCAUCAACCCUGUGAACAUACCUAUAACGUUGCCUCGGCGGGAACAGACGGCCCCGUAACACGGGCCGCCCCCGCCAGAGGACCCCCUAACUCUGUUUCUAUAAUGUUCCUUCUGAGUAAACAAGCAAAUAAAUUA